UGUUGUACUGCUCGGCGGUUUUU
rnacentral:sRNA from 1 species